rnacentral:rRNA from 1 species
GAUGAACGCUGGCGGCGUGCCUAAUACAUGCAAGUCGAGCGAACGGACGAGAAGCUUGCUUCUCUGAUGUUAGCGGCGGACGGGUGAGUAACACGUGGAUAACCUACCUAUAAGACUGGGAUAACUUCGGGAAACCGGAGCUAAUACCGGAUAAUAUUUUGAACCGCAUGGUUCAAAAGUAAAAGACGGUCUUGCUGUCACUUAUAGAUGGAUCCGCGCUGCAUUAGCUAGUUGGUAAGGUAACGGCUUACCAAGGCAACGAUGCAUAGCCGACCUGAGAGGGUGAUCGGCCACACUGGAACUGAGACACGGUCCAGACUCCUACGGGAGGCAGCAGUAGGGAAUCUUCCGCAAUGGGCGAAAGCCUGACGGAGCAACGCCGCGUGAGUGAUGAAGGUCUUCUGAUCGUAAAACUCUGUUAUUAGGGAAGAACAUAUGUGUAAGUAACUGUGCACAUCUUGACGGUACCUAAUCAGAAAGCCACGGCUAACUACGUG